UAAAAUAGUUGAGAAGAUACGGGACGUCAGAGAAGCAGCCUGUGAGUUGGGAAUCCCACAAAUUGCUGUUCUCACCAAAAUCGAUGAAGCCUGUCCUGAAGUCAAAGAAGAUGUAAAGAAUGUCUACAAGAGCAAGUACAUCAAAAAGCAGAUGGAAGCAGUAAGUGCUGUGCUGGGAA